UACGGAGGGUGCAAGCGUUGUCCGGAAUUAUUGGGCGUAAAGAGCUUGUAGGUGGCUUGUCAAGUCUGCUGUGAAAAUCCGAGGCUCAACCUUGGACUUGCAGUGGGUACGGGCAGACUAGAGUGUGGUAGGGGAGACUGGAAUUCCUGGUGUAGCGGUGGAAUGCGCAGAUAUCAGGAGGAACACCGAUGGCGAAGGCAGGUCUCUGGGCCAUUACUGACACUGAGAAGCGAAAGCAUGGGGAGCGAACAGG
rnacentral:rRNA from 1 species